CAGCAGCCGCGGGAAUACGGAGGGGGCUGGCGUUGUUCGGAAUUACUGGGCGUAAAGCGCACGUAGGCGGCUUGGUAAGUUAGAGGUGAAAGCCCAGGGCUCAACCCUGGAAUUGCCUUUAAGACUGCCGAGCUAGUAGGUGAGAGAGGUAAGUGGAAUUCCGAGUGUAGAGGUGAAAUUCGUAGAUAUUCGGAAGAACACCAGUGGCGAAGGCGGCUUACUGGCUCAUUCUAGACGCUGAGGUGCGAAAGCGUGGGGAGCAAACAGGAUUAGAUACCCCGGUAGUCCCUGUCUCUUAUAC
rnacentral:rRNA from 1 species